rnacentral:rRNA from 1 species
AUUGAACGCUGCGGCAGGUUUAACACAUGCAGUCGAACGGGUCAUAAAGAAGCUUGUUCUGAUGACGAGUGCGACGGGUGAGUAAUGCUUGGGAAUCUAGCUUUAUGGAGGGGGAUAACUACGGGAAACUGUAGCUAAUACCGGUAAUAUCGAAAAUUAAAGUGUGGGACCUUCGGGCCACAUGCCAUAGGAUGAGCCCAAGUGGGAUUAGGUAGUUGGUGAGGUAAAGGCUCACCAAGCCGACGAUCUCUAGCUGGUCUGAGAGGAUGACCAGCCACAUGGGAUGAGACACGGCCCAGACUCCUACGGGAGGCAGCAGUGGGGAAUAUUGCGCAAUGGGGGCACCCUGACGCAGCCAUGCGCGUGAAUGAAGAAGGCCUUCGGGUUGUAAAGUUCUUUCGGUAGCGAGGAAGGCACUUAGUUUAAUAGACUAGGUGAUUGACGUUAACUACAGAAGAAGCACCGGC